rnacentral:lncRNA from 1 species
AGAUAUUUGUAUUUUAUGGUCUUAAACGAUUGAAUCAACGAGCGAUGGAAGAGAAGAGAUAGAGAGAGGAAAAAACUUAGAGAAAUUGGUGAAGAUAAAGGUAAAGUUUUGAUUCAAAGGGGAAACAUGUAUUUACAGGUUCACGGCGAUGGUUCGGUGGCGCUAGAGGCCAACCGUCACUGGAAAGCAUUUAAUAUUUUGGGGAACCGAACCGACGGGACAUUUCGAUCACCUCAAAUGCUUAUGUCACGGGGAUGACAUCAUUAUCGGCGUCUCAACAUCGAGGCUUAAAUCGUUUCUUAUCAUUUUAUGCUAAGAAACGAGGGGACUAUCUGUAUAUGGUGGAAACUGGGGCUACCCGGUUUCAAUCUUCGAUGGAAAAAGUGAUUCCAUGUCGAAAAACUAGAACGUCGGGCUCGGGGUCGAAGUUCCUUUUCGAGCUCAUGGUCGAUAACAGUUACUGAGGUCAGAAGAAGGCAUGCUUCGAGAUGAUGCCGGUAUGAGUCAAUAACGGAAAGAGAACGAUACCCGCAACAAGUCCGAGAUCACAGUGUAAAUUUCGAAUGAAAACAGUUGUCAAAUAUAAUUUCCUACUAUAAUUGAAAGUGUACCUAUUUAGGACCCCCUAUUAUGGGAGGGGGGGGGGGAUCCCAUCCAUUUGUAAUGGAUUGAUCACUUCUCACUAAUAAUAAAAUAUACGUACAUUAUUCUCUUGCUUUUUGAGAUGUAAUUUUGAGUACAUAGAUUAUCAUAGGGUCAAAAUCAUUACGCUCUUGAAACUUGGCCUCAAAGUGAAGCUUUUACUUGUGAUUUGAGCAAUUAACAUUUGCCUUCUCUUUCUUGAUUGUUGGUUAUAUAUACAUUUUUCCUUUUACGGCAUCAUACAAAUUAAGAUCCAUUUAUCACUCACAAUCA